CUGGCGGCGCACAUAAAGACAUGCAAGUCGAACGGAAAGUCGUUAUAAAACAGAUUGACGAUUAUCAGAUUGAAGUUCAUAACAAUGGCUUUAGUGGCGGACUGGUGAGUAACACGUAAGGAACCUGCCUAUCAGAGGGGAAGUAACAGUGAGAAAUCAUUGCUAAUACCGCAUAAGCUAGUAGAAUCGCAUGAUUUAGCUAGAAAAAGGAGUAAUCCGCUGAUAGAUGGCCUUGCGUCUGAUUAGCUAGUUGGUGGGGUAACGGCCUACCAAGGCGACGAUCAGUAGCCGGACUGAGAGGUUGAACGGCCACAUUGGGACUGAGAUACGGCCCAGACUCCUACGGGAGGCAGCAGUCGGGAAUAUUGCGCAAUGGAGGAAACUUCCUGACGCAGUGACGCCGCGUAUAGGAAGAAGGUUUUCGGAUUGUAAACUAUUGUCGUGAGGGAAGAAAUUGACAGUACCUCAGGAGGAAGCUCCGGCUAACUAUGUGCCAGCCGCCGC
rnacentral:rRNA from 1 species